rnacentral:rRNA from 1 species
GACGAACGCUGGCGGCGUGCCUAACACAUGCAAGUCGAACGGAGUGUUACGCUGAAUUGAAGGUAGCUUGCUACCGGAUUUUCUUGUGACACUUAGUGGCGGACGGGUGAGUAACGCGUGAGCAACCUGCCUUUCAGUGGGGGACAACAGUUGGAAACGACUGCUAAUACCGCAUAAUGUUAUUUGAGGGCAUCCUCGAAUAACCAAAGCUUUAUGUGCUGAAAGAUGGUCUCGCGUCUGAUUAGCUAGUUGGCGGGGUAACGGCCCACCAAGGCGACGAUCAGUAGCCGGUCUGAGAGGAUGAACGGCCACAUUGGGACUGAGAUACGGCCCAGACUCCUACGGGAGGCAGCAGUUGGGGAAUAUUGGGCAAUGGGGGAAACCCUGACCCAGCAACGCCGCGUGAAGGAAG